rnacentral:rRNA from 1 species
UGGACGAAAGUCUGACGGAGCAACGCCGCGUGAGUGAUGAAGGUUUUCGGAUCGUAAAACUCUGUUGUUAGGGAAGAACAAGUUACCGUUCGAAUAGGGCGGUACCUUGACGGUACCUAACCAGAAAGCCACGGCUAACUACGUGCCAGCAGCCGCGGUAAUACGUAGGUGGCAAGCGUUGUCCGGAAUUAUUGGGGCGUAAAGCGCGCGCAGCGGUUUCUUAAGUCUGAUGUGAAAGCCCCCGGCUCAACCGGGGAGGGUCAAUUUGGAAACUUGGGGGAAACUUUGAAAGUGCAGAAAGAGGAGAGUGGAAAUCCACGUGUACCGGUGAAAUGCGUAGAGAUGUGGAGGAAUACCAGUGGCGAAGGGCGACUCUCUGGUCUGUAACUGACGCUGAGGCGCGAAAGCGUGGGGAGCGAACAGGAUUAGAUACCCUGGUAGUCCACGCCGUAAACGAUGAGUGCUAAGUGUUAGAGGGUUUCCGCCCUUUAGUGCUGCAGCAAACGCAUUAAGCACUCCGCCUGGGGAGUACGGUCGCAAGACUGAAACUCAAAGGAAUUGACGGGGGCCCGCACAAGCGGUGGAG